GCAAAGCUUCUCGUGAAGCUUCUUUGGACAAAGAUCUAUCCUCAUCUUAGAUUCAUGUAUCUGGGUCGUUUCGUAGAUUUCAGGUGCAAUCUCCUCUCCUUCCCCAUCUCUGUCUUUUUUGGCUAUCGCUUCUCGGCCAAUCUUCCAACAAAAAACCCGAGACAUAACUCUGAGCUUUCAGGGAUCUACCCUCUUUGCCACCUCCCAUAGCAAGCGAUUAGGGUUCGUUCAUCGUCAUGGUGCUUCUCAGGCUUCUAUUCGGAGGCACUUAUCAAGGGCCUCCUCCAGUGAUGGCACCUCCCCAGUAUUAUGCAGCCCCAGCUCCCCCACCGCCGGAGACGAGUUUUCUCGAAGGAUGCCUAGCAGCUUUAUGCUGUUGUUGUCUCUUUGACUGGUGCUGCGAUCCGACUCUCCUAUUCGUCGUAUGAACUGAUGUUUUACUGAAUCCGUAAAUGUUUUUAUGUAUAAAUGUUAGCUUGUGAUACAGAGAUGUAUACUAGACUUAAUGUAAUCAAGGUUUAGAGGCGAAUGGAAUGAAAUUUCCGGUCGGAGAGAUUGUUAUGCA